rnacentral:rRNA from 2 species
UACGUAGGGUCCAAGCGUUGUCCGGAUUUAUUGGGCGUAAAGAGCUCGUAGGCGGCUCGGUAAGUCGGAUGUGAAACCUCCAGGCUCAACCUGGAGUCGCCAUCCGAUACUGCUGUGGCUUGAGUCCGGUAGGGGAGCAUGGAAUUCCUGGUGUAGCGGUGAAAUGCGCAGAUAUCAGGAGGAACACCAGUGGCGAAGGCGGUGCUCUGGGCCGGAACUGACGCUGAGGAGCGAAAGCGUGGGGAGCAAACAGG